rnacentral:rRNA from 1 species
UAAUACGGAGGGUGCAAGCGUUAUCCGGAUUCACUGGGUUUAAAGGGUGCGUAGGCGGAUUUGUAAGUCCGUGGUGAAAUCUCCGAGCUUAACUCGGAAACUGCCAUGGAUACUAUAAGUCUUGAAUGUUGUGGAGGUUUGCGGAAUAUGUCAUGUAGCGGUGAAAUGCUUAGAUAUGACAUAGAACACCGAUUGCGAAGGCAGCAGGCUACACAAAUAUUGACGCUGAGGCACGAAAGCGUGGGGAUCAAACAGGAUUAGAUACCCUGGUAGUCCACGCCCUAAACGAUGAUUACUCGACAUUUGCGAUACACAGCAAGUGUCUGAGCGAAAGCAUUAAGUAAUCCACCUGGGAAGUACGACCGCAAGGUUG